rnacentral:tRNA from 1 species
GCCAGGGUGGCCGAACCAGGUGAUGAUAACUAACUGAAAGGCGAUGGGCUGCAGACCCAUUUUAUAGGGGUUCAAAUCCCCUCCCUGGCU